rfam:Stegodyphus mimosarum contig3826, whole genome shotgun sequence.
GCCUACGAGGUGUAAUGGUAGCACACUCGGCGUGUAUUCAAGAGGUCCAAGUUCGAGUCUUGGCGAAGUCA